UAAAAUCUAUACUACUUCAUAUAAUGUCAAGAAAAUCUAGGAUGACUUGUCUUAAGAUCAACAAGAUUUCAUAUAUGUUACACAAGGCUAACUUUGCCACUAAAAUACAAUAUGUUUAAUACCAUAUCAUUACAAAGUAUAUACCAAAAACAUACUAUGAAAAAUAUAUACAUUACUAUACUUAUUAUGAUAUUACAUGCACAUUAAACACAUGAUAAGAUAUGAUAUCAUGUGUAUGGCAUAUCAUAUAUCUAUCAUAUAUACUUUACAUUAUAUCUUGUCCCUAUUAUAUCAUGAGACUUUAUUAUAUUUUCAUCAAUAUAUAACCAAUUAAUUUAACAACAUCUACAAUGACAAUCUUGGUCUUUUCCACAUUCUCCACGUGCAGAAAAUGAUCCACAUAAUGCCUUGCAUUGUAUUUUGCAUUGAAUACUCCUUCCAGACUUGCGACAUAACCCAGCUACAACUUUGUUACAUUCUUUUGCCUCUAUCAUUUCCACUUGAUUUCCUGCAGAAAAACACAAAUCAAAUAAAUUAAGGAAAAAAACUCGUGAGAUUUUACAAAAAAUAAAUAAAAGUAUCAUAACUCAUACCAAAAUGAAUGGAAAGAAUGAGUAAAAUAAUGAAGACGCUUUUCAUAUUUUAUAUUUUGAGAUUAUAAUGUUCAACUUUCAAUUGGUGAU
rnacentral:lncRNA from 1 species